CUACGGAGGAUCCGAGCGUUAUCCGGAUUUAUUGGGUUUAAAGGGUGCCCAGGCGGGAGAUUAAGUCGGCGGUGAAAUUUUGCAGCUCAACUGUAAAAGUGCCUUCGAAACUGGUUUCCUUGAGUGUAGAUGAAGUAGGCGGAAUUUGUGGUGUAGCGGUGAAAUGCAUAGAUAUCACGAGGAACUCCGAUUGCGCAGGCAGCUUACUAAACUACUACUGACGCUCAGGCACGAAGGCGUGGGGAUCAAACAGGAUUAGAUACCCUGGUAGUCCACGCAGUAAACGAUGAUUACUAGCUGUUUGCGAUACAAUGUAAGCGGCUGAGCGAAAGCGUUAAGUAAUCCACCUGGGGAGUACGUUCGCAAGAAUGAAACUCAAAGGAAUUGACGGGG
rnacentral:rRNA from 1 species